GUGGAGGCACAACGGGUGACACCAGACACACACCAAGCACAUUAUGUUUGGACAUUCAAUCAUGACAUGAUCCAUGUGGAUGCUGUCCAUUGAGGAAAGAGUUUGUUCAGCGGUUUCUGGAUAGAAUUAAUUCCAAAGAUGGGAAAAAGUGCACAUCCAGACAAGGAGCAAGCAAAAAGACAAGGAACUUGGUGCAGAGAAAAGCUGUGGCCAUUAACCCCUGUGAACAGCUUCAUGCAGUCCCUGAUUGAGUUCGAAUGGACGACUUCAAAGUAAAGGCCACUGUGGUCUGUCUGCCACAGUUUAAUUUUUAAUUUAUUUUUAGUGUUCAAUGAAAUUCAAGUAGAAUAUUUAAAACUAUGGGCCAGUGUUCUUUUUACCACAGUGAAAUGUUACCUUUUAGUCGAUGAUGGACUUUAAACUGAAAACUUCAAACUAUGGAACAGUGUUCUAUUUGCCAGAGUUAAAUAUGUUACAGCAGGGGUCUCCAAACUUGUUUAUACUUGUUGAUUUUAUUUUAUUUAACUUGUUUAUAUGUUUAUUAUUGUUUAAAAUCUUGUUUUAAAUAUGUUUUGUUUCAAUUAAAUGUUUUUUUUUAAAUAAAAUUU